GAAGGCAUGGAACAGGGGAAGGACUUUCGCUUUUUGUGGCCCUGUAAAAGAAAAUAAUAUGUUUUAUAUAGCCCGCCUAGCGUUAUAGUCUCAGUGCAUUCUAUUCUAUUCUAGCUAGUGGCUAGGGCGUAACGUAGAUAAAUACAAUUUAUAAUUAUUUUUUACCUAGAGUUUUUGCUAUUUCGUGACAAGGAAGGUACUGGUGGUGUUUACCAGUACCUACGUGUACCCACAGCUCUUCUAGCUCAGGUACUAGGUGGGCUAUAUAAAACAUAUUAUUUUCUUUUACAGGGCCACAAAAAGCGAAAGUCCUCCCCCUGUUCCAUGCCUUCACAGGUUGUGAUACUGUGUCCUAUUUUAACGGGAAAGGAAAAAAAGUGCAAUAGAUGCAUGGAACGCAUUUCCCAAUGCCACAGAAGGGUUUCUGGCAGCAUAUGAGGGGAAUACUAGCGAGGCGUUUACAGUAAUCGAAAAGUUUGUCGUCAUUUUAUAUGACAGAGCCAGUUCAUUUACAACCGUAAACGAAGCCCGAAAGCACCUAUUCUCGAAAAAAGACCGCCAAUUGGAGAAUAUACCUCCGACGAAAGCUGCUCUAUACCAGCAUUUCCUGCGGGCAGUGUUCCAAGCAGUCCAUGUAUGGGGUCAGAUGUCACCGAAUCAAAAUCUUCCCUGUCCAUCUAACUGGGGAUGGAGAAAAGUCAGUGAAAGCUGGCAACCUACAUGGACAGACUUGCCCGUAGCUGCAGAUGCAUGCCUGGAAAUGAUCCGGUGCAGAUGCAAAAAGAGGUGCGGCGGCUCGAGGUGCCGGUGCUUUCAGCGGCAACUUAAGUGCACGGAGCUUUGCGAUUGUGGGGGACAAUGUAAAUAAUAAACAUUUUUAAGUAAAAUUCUA